CUGAGCUCCUGAUCCCAAAUCAGAGCCUGAGCUCCUGAUCCCAGAGCAGAGCCUGAGCUCCUGUCCCAGAGCAGAGCCUGAGCUCCUGUCCCAGAGCAGAGCCUGAGCUCCCUUCUGGGAGCUGGCUCACAGCCUCCUGUGAAUUAAGGCCGUUUUGCUAGAAAGAUCCUUAACACUGUCUUCAUCAUGACUGGAUAGUCUUGGCCAUGCCACUGUUCUAGAGCUCCCAGAGAGAAUUUCACAGAAUCAUGGAAUGGGUUGGGUUGGUAGGGACCUUAAAUCCCACCCAGUGCCACCCCUGCCAUGGCAGGGACAUCUCCCACUGUCCCAAUGUCCAGCCUGGCCUUGGGCACUGCCAGGGGUCCAGGGCAGCCACAGCUGCUCUGGGCACCCUGUGCCAGGGCCUGCCCACCCUGCCAGGGAGGGAUUUGUUCUCAAUAUCCGAUCUAAUUUGCUUUCAUUAGUUUAAUUACAAGAACCAAGAGUUGCUCUUGGCCCCAGGUGGUGACUGAGCUGCCCAGCCCUGUCCCUCUCUCCUGUGUGUUGGCAGUUCAAUGUCCUGCAACAGCAACAGUGCCAAGCUACUGUGUGUAAAUAUUGGAGACAUAUAAAUGGUAGAAUUCACUGUUUCCUCAAGUCAAUACAGUUUACACUGAGUGGACCAUAUUUGCAAACUAUUAGCUUCCACCAAGAAAGGGAGUGAACUGUGAUUUCAUUUGUAUUUAUUGAAUCAUAAGUUUAGUAGCAUAUUUAGCAGUUGAUAGUGAUCUAUAGCUGUGUUUUGGGGUGUGGAUCAUGUUCUCUGCAGCUCAUGGUUUUGCACAAGGCAGUAAAUCCAGGAAGUCAUUUCUGCCUGGAUAUACACUACAUUUUUUCAAAGCAGUCAGAGACUAAAACUGCCAUCUAACAAACAGCAGGAAAGAGGAACACUUCUGUUUUUCAAGUUUAGCACUUUAUGUUUGCAGCCCAUUUCUCUUAAGUUACUUAAAAAUGUUUUUAAAAGCAAAAUUUAAUACAUGUGUUCCUAUUUACUGUACAUUAAAAUAAAUGGAUUCUCUGCUGGAAAUUUCAUCUUUUCCUUUAGUAUGCUCAUAAUUUGUACUUUUGGGGAGCGAGGCAUUGUUUUCUUCUUCUGUGUAGUAUCUUGUUUGUGGCCUUAAUGUUCUUCCUAUUCCUUUAUCUGUGUGGGUUAUGUGCUGUAGCAGCUCAUGUGUGACCUGUGGGCUUUGGGGCUGCUCCAGGUGAUGCCCCUGUGUGAUCUCACUGCUCCUGCUGCCCCUGGCUCCAGGGGAUGUUCCUGUGUGGGUCUCACUGUGCUCCUGUGUGAUCUCACUGCUCCUGCUGCCCCUGGCUCCAGGGGAUGAUGUUCCUGUGUGAUCUCACUGCUCCUGCUGCCCCUGGCUCCACAUGAGGAUGUUCCUGUGUGAGUCUCACUGCUCCUGCUGCCCCUGGCUGCCAACAUCCCAUGCCGAGCUGCUGCAGGCUGAGGUUUCGUGGCACACACUGUUCUCUUCCUGCACCUCUGCAGUAAUUCCAGGUGUGUCACAGCCCUCUCCACCCCCUUACUUCUGUGUUUCUCUCCUCCUCAGAGCUUGUGCUGCUCAUCUGUGCCAGCAUUUGUUUAGCCCAGCCCGUGGUGCAGCGGGGACCUGACAUUCUGUGCUCAGCAGCUCCAGCGUGUGCAGGGUGUGCUCAGAGCUGCCUGGGGGUGCUCAGAGCUGCCUGGGGGUGCUCAGAGCUGCCUGGGGGUGCUCAGAGCUGGCUGGGGGCGCUCAGAGCUGGCUGGGGGCGCUCAGAGCUGCCUGGGGGUGCUCAGAGCUGGCUGGGGGUGCUCAGAGCUGCCUGGGGGUGCUCAGAGCUGCCUGGGGGUGCUCAGAGCUGGCUGAGGGUGCUCAGAGCUGCCUGGGGGUGCUCAGAGCUGCCUGGGGGUGCUCAGAGCUGCCUGGGGGUGCUCAGAGCUGCCUGGGGGUGCUCAGAGCUGGCUGGGGGUGCUCAGAGCUGGCUGGGGGUGCUCAGAGCUGCCUGGGGGUGCUCAGAGCUGGCUGGGGGCGCUCAGAGCUGCCUGGGGGUGCUCAGAGCUGCCUGGGGGCGCUCAGAGCUGGCUGAGGGUGCUCAGAGCUGCCUGGGGGUGCUCAGAGCUGCCCGGGGGUGCUCAGGGCAUCCCUGCUGCCCCUCGAGGUGAGCGCUGUGCUGGAGCUGCACCAGGGCUGAUUCCCUGCUCCCCCCUGUGCCAGACCCGGGGCAGCCUCUGGAGCCGAGGGAGGGUGAGCUGGGGCUGAGCUGGGUUUGGCAGGGAGCCCCAGGCCAGAGGGGAAUCCAGCAGCUGCUCCGUGGGCUUUAUGUGCAGGAGAGCUUCAGCUCUGCUCCUCACAGCCCCCGGUGUGCAGUGCCCCAGGGAGGUGAGCCCUGCCACGGGCAGCUCGGUGGGCUUGGGCUCAUCCCCCAGUGCCUGGGCCAGCCCAGUGCCCCCUCACUGGGUGGGCUCUGUGUUUAUUCUUCAUUAUUUCAUGUGUUAAACUCUUUGAUUUGCAUGAAAUCCUGUGGUUCGCAGCUUUGCCAAUAUGGUCCAUUACUACUGCCUACUACAACUUGCGUACUUACAUGCCUUUGAGAACAUUUUUAAUUGUUAAAACAGUUUAAAAAAUCAGUGUUAAUUUUUAAUGGGGAAGUGGAUUCUGGUGUCAAAAUGGUAUUUACUGUGAUGCCGAUGUUUUGUACCUGUCAUCCAGCUGAACAACCUGUAAAUACUCCUGAGUCCAGAGAAAUAUGAAUGCCAAUUAUUUAUUGUUCUGUGGAGUUACAUGUCGCAGAUGUGUAAGAACUUAAAAGGGAAUGUUGUAAAACAAGGUGGAAAAAAUAAAUUUUAUGCAACUUCUUUACUUCA